rnacentral:lncRNA from 1 species
GGCCGCGGCCCCCGCCCCUGCGCUGUCGGGCGGGGAGGUCGGAAACCCCCUGGCGAGACCACGGGCGGACGCUUCCCGAAGAGCUGCCUGGGCUGCAGCCGCGGAAGCUGCGUUCUGGGGAGCGGGGAGCGUGCUCCGGCGCCUUCGGGCCGCUGCUGGAAGCCGGAACCGAGCCCGGGCCGCUGCCCCUCACCGGACGCCGCGCGCCACCGGCCCUCCGCGGGGCAGGGGCUGCUGCGAGCUCGCCGGGCGCCCUUUAGACAGUCGUCCUUGUCUACUCCACUACCAAAUGUUGAAGUUCUUCAAGAAUCAGUCCUUUGGAGGCAUUUAAGGAAAUCUGUUUCUCUUUUGGAUCACUAGCUGCAAAUUAAGCUAACAGAACAGGAGCUCAGCUGGUCACACACAGCAACGAAUACAGACUUUAUAAAGUUCAGAAAAGUUACCAAACAGUGGUAACCAUAACAAGUACCAACAAUGAACUAUGGGGAGGGAGGAGAAUCUGAUUUCCAGAGUUACCACAUUAUAAUACUAUUCAAAAUGUCACAUUUUUAGCAAAGAUUACAUGACAAGGAAAAACCAGAAAAGUAUGGCCCAUACACAGGUAAAAAAAGAAAUUAAUAGAAACUACCCCUGAAGAAGCACAGACUUCGGAUGUACAAAACAAAGACUUUUCAUCAACUCUUUUAGAUAUGCUAGAAGAGCUAAAGGAAACCAUGGACAGAGAACAAAAAAAUUAGGAAAGCAAUGUCUCAUCCAAUACAGAAUAUCAAUAAAGAGAUUGAAAUUGUAGAAAAGAACCAAAUAGAAAUUCUGGAGUUGAAAAGUAUUAUAACUAAAACUGAAAAUUCACUAGAGGUAUUCAGCAGCAGACUGGAGAAGUCAGAAGAAAGAAUCAACAGGCUUCAAGAUAGGUCAAUUAAGAUUAUACAGUCUGAGGAGCAGAAAGGAAAAAGAAUGAAGAAAAAUGAACAGAGCAUAAAAGACCUCUGGGACUCUAUCAAGCAUACCAGUAUAUGCAUGAGGGGAGUCCCAGAAGGAGAAGAAAGAGAGAAAGGGACAUAAUAUUUGAAGAAAUAAUGGUAGAAAAUGUCCCAGCUUUGAUGAAAUACAUGAAUCUAGAUAUUCAAGAGGCUCAAAGAACCCUAAAUAGGGUAAACUCAAAAAGACCCACACCGGAAUGCAAAAGUGAGCUGGGUGUGGUGGCACGUGCCUGUGGUCCCAGCUACUCGAGAGGCUAAGGCAGGAAAAUCGCUUGAACCCAGGAGGCAGAGAUUGCGGUGAGCCGGGAUUGCGCCAGUGCACUCCAGCUGGGCGACAGAGCGAGAUUCCAUCUCGAAAAAAAAAAAAAAAAAAAAAAAAAACUAUUGCUGCAGUCAUUCAGAUGGAAAUGGGGAAAGAAUAAUAUUAACUGAUUUCAAAAAGGACUUGAAGAUGUGAAUCAUCUAUUUUGCUGAAGAAAUCUUAACUCUUUGAAAUUACUUUUUGUUGCUGUUGUCAUACUCUUAGGUGCCAAACUGCGGUAAAUUUUUUAUCAGUGAAGUGGAAGCAUGUGUUUUGUUGUUUUGGGAAUUUUUAUCAAGUAUCUUCAGAGAAGAUUAUUUCCUGCUUUAUCUUCAAAAACUGGAAAGGAAGGGUCAAAGAAAAGACAGUAGCUGGCCGGUCAUGGUGGCUCAUGCCUGUAAUCCCAACACUUUGGGAGGCUGAGGUGGGCAGAUCACCUGAGGUUGGGAGUUCGAGGCCAGCCUGACCAACGUGGAGAAAUGCCAUCUCUACUAAAGAUGCAAGGAUUGGCCGGGCGUGGUGGUGCGUGCCUGUGAUCCCAGCUGCUCAGGAGGCUGAGGCAGGAGAAUCGCUUGGACCUGGGAGGUGGAGGUUGCGGUGAGCUGAGAUCACGCCAUUGCACUCCAGCCUGGGCAACAAGCGAAACUCUGUCUCAAAAAAAAAGAAAAGACAGUAGCUUAUGUUCAUGUCAAGCACCUCUCAUCACAGUCUAGUUCCAAGGAAAAAAUUCCCAGCGUUUUCUACAUUCGGUGCUGCGUCAUCUGAAAUCGGCACAUUCCAUGGAGGAAGGAGUCCUGCUUUGUUGCAUGUAUCCUAGGGUUUAAUGUUGGUAAAUGAGUCACUCUAGCAUUUGUAGAAGGCUCCCUGAGACUCCUGCAGCAGUCGACCAAGCCCAAGGACAUAAUUGAAUCUGGAGAGUCCUGGGGCCUUGUUUUGAAAAAGACUUGAAAUACACAUAGGAAGAAAGGCAUAAAAAUAAAUGUUCACUUGUCUCUGCUGUGA